AAAAAGGUAAGCUAAUUCAAGCUAUUGGGUUCAUACCCCAUUCAUGGAGGCAYUAAUCCUCCCCUUUUUA
rnacentral:tRNA from 1 species